GCCGGCGUAGCUCAGUUGGUAGAGCAACUGAUUUGUAAUCAGUAGGUCGACGGUUCGAAUCCGCCCGCCGGCU
rnacentral:tRNA from 1 species